GCGGCAUGCCUAACACAUGCAAGUCGAACGGGUUGUACUUCGGUACAGCUAGUGGCGGACGGGUGAGUAACACAUAGGAAUCUGCCCGAGAGUGGGGGAUAACCCAGGGAAACUUGGAUUAAUACCGCAUGAUCUCUACGGAGCAAAGCUGGGGACCUUCGGGCCUGGCGCUUUUGGAGGAGCCUAUGUCUGAUUAGCUUGUUGGUGAGGUAACGGCUCACCAAGGCGACGAUCAGUAACUGGUCUGAGAGGACGACCAGUCACACCGGAACUGAGACACGGUCCGGACUCCUACGGGAGGCAGCAGUGGGGAAUAUUGGACAAUGGGCGAAAGCCUGAUCCAGCAAUGCCGCGUGUGUGAAGAAGGCCUUCGGGUUGUAAAGCACUUUAGGAUGGAAAGAAAAAACUUCAGUUAAUAGCUGAAGUCUUGACGGUACCAUCAGAAUAAGCACCGGCUAACUCUGUGCCAGCAGCCGCGGUAAUACAGAGGGUGCAAGCGUUAAUCGGA
rnacentral:rRNA from 1 species